UGAAGCCCACCUCAAGAUGAGAUUUCCCAUAGCAUAAGCUAGUAAGACCCCUUGAAGACUACAAGGUUGAUAGGUCAGAGGUGUAAGUAUGGUAACAUAUUUAGCUGACUGAUACUAAUAGGUCGAGGGCUUGACCAA
rnacentral:rRNA from 1 species